rnacentral:tRNA from 1 species
GCGAGCGUAGCUCAGCGGCAGAGCACCGCCUUCACACGGCGGGGGUCACAGGUUCAAUCCCUGUCGCUCGCACCA